UACGUAGGGCGCAAGCGUUGUCCGGAAUUAUUGGGCGUAAAGAGCUCGUAGGCGGCUUGUCACGUCGGGUGUGAAAGCCCCGGGGCUUAACCCCCGGGUCUGCAUUCGAUACGGGCUAGCUAGAGUGUGGUAGGGGAGAUCGGAAUUCCUGGUGUAGCGGUGAAAUGCGCAGAUAUCAGGAGGAACACCGGUGGCGAAGGCGGAUCUCUGGGCCGAUACUGACGCUGAGGAGCGAAAGCGUGGGGAGCGAACAGG
rnacentral:rRNA from 1 species